rnacentral:rRNA from 1 species
GACGAGCCUCACAAACGUUAUUCGGAAUUACUGGGCUUAAAGGGUGCGUAGGCGGCGCGGAAAGUUGGGUGUGAAAUCCCUCGGCUCAACCGAGGAAUUGCGCUCAAAACUACCGUGCUCGAGGGAGAUAGAGGAAUGCGGAACUUACGGUGGAGCGGUGAAAUGCGUUGAUAUCGUAGGGAACACCGGUGGCGAAAGCGGCAUUCUGGAUCUCAUCUGACGCUGAUGAACGAAAGCUAGGGUAGCAAACGGG